AUUGAACGCUGGCGGCAUGCCUUACACAUGCAAGUCGAACGGUAACGGGCCUUCGGGUGCCGACGAGUGGCGAACGGGUGAGUAAUACAUCGGAACGUGCCCGAUCGUGGGGGAUAACGAGGCGAAAGCUUUGCUAAUACCGCAUCCGAUCUACGGAUGAAAGCAGGGGACCGCAAGGCCUUGCGCGGACGGAGCGGCCGAUGGCAGAUUAGGUAGUUGGUGGGAUAAAAGCUUACCAAGCCGACGAUCUGUAGCUGGUCUGAGAGGAUGAUCAGCCACACUGGGACUGAGACACGGCCCAGACUCCUACGGGAGGCAGCAGUGGGGAAUUUUGGACAAUGGGCGCAAGCCUGAUCCAGCCAUGCCGCGUGCAGGAUGAAGGCCUUCGGGUUGUAAACUGCUUUUGUACGGAACGAAAAGCCUUCUUUUAAUACAGGAGGGUCAUGACGGUACCGUAAGAAUAAGCACCGGCUAACUACGUG
rnacentral:rRNA from 1 species